CGGAAGGACUGCCCCGGUGGCCCACUGGUUAAGCAACUAAAGGAACUAAGAUCCUGCAUGCUUCCAGAGCAACUAAGCCUGCACACCUCAACUACUGAAGCCCGCGAGCUCAGGAGCCUGCCUGCCACAACUAGAAAGAGGCCAUGCACCCCAAGGAAAGACCCCGCAUGACUCAGCGAAGAUCCCACGUGCCGCAACCAAGACCCAACAGAUCCAAAAUAAAGUAAAAAGAGUAGUCAGAGACGUGUCAUCUGGCAGGGCAUGAGAGUAUUCGCCCUGUAGCGUCUGCCUCAGUCUGUAUUUUCCCAACCACAUCCCUAUGGUAUCAUGUGUUUAUCGUGUCUUCCUGUCUCUGUACUCCUCUUCACUGAGAGCUGGUUCUAGAAGCUGCAUGAGACUCUGGUUCGACAUCUUCUGGCAAGAACACUUCGAAUGGUGGUGGUAGAGGCCCUUAACCAUCUGGUUGUUCCUUGCUUUUUGAGGCUCGCAGCUGUGGACGAUCAAUGCUGCCUUAGAACGGAGUUCCCAAAAUAGGCCCGAAGAGAGGGCUAUGUAAAAGCACCUCGGGAGACCAGCGAGGCACCUUGGGAGGGCGACGCACUUGGCGCCUGGGAGACAGUGAGCUGUGCGGGAAGCAGAGCCAGGAGAGGAAACAGAACAAGAGUGUGAUCUCAAGCACAGGCCCACGGGGGGCAGGUUCUGAGCAGCGCAGGCCGCACCCAACUCUGCGCCGACUCGAGGCGAGGGGCUGCCUCCCCACACCUGCGCCUUCCAGCGACUGGUCGGGACUUGCGUGUCCCCGGGACGGAGGGGGUGACGGGGGAUCCCCAGAGAAGAGCGGAGACCCAGAGGCUGCCCGUGUGCUGCAGGGACCAUCCCUACGGCUCCUGCAGUCCUGAGUCUUCAACAGCCUGUGGCCUGUGCCUGAGGAGGGUCAGCACGGAGGCCUGCUUCUCCCACCCGCGACCGCAAAGGCUGCUGGUUCUAAGCAGACCUUCCAGGCUGCCCUGUGGACACGCUCACUCCAUCAAGGGAAACAGCACGACAUGGCCGAGCGCUGAGCUCCAGCAGCACCAACGUCUCUCCUUCACGUUGCCCACUUCAGAAAUGAACGCCUGACUCUGGAAAGGAGGGAACACGCUAGCGCUUCAAAUCUAGCCUGAUAAGCACUAGUGCUGCCGUUUAUUUCCUAAAAUGUCGCCAUCUGUAAAAUGAGGAAUUUCACUUUGUGUGUGCAUGUGUAAGAAAUUCAUCCAUCUGUACGAAAAGUCCCCUUGUCACCUCCCAGCAUCUGUGCCCAUGGACCAUACCUCAGGGACUCCCUGGACCUGUGAAUGAACAGUGUGCUCCUAACCAAGGCCGAGACACGGUAAGAAGCAGAACCAUGGACGAUGCGUGGAGUCACCCAGGGCCCUGGCUGCUCAUCUUCCAACCAGAAAACCUCCAGCUCCUUCAACUCACCUGUCUUUCACCAAGUUCUGGCGUCUGCCAAAUUCUGACAGUUUUCCCUUCACAGUUUCUCAACUCUGUCCCAUCCCUUGCACUAUCUUUUUUCGAAGUCAGAGUUGUUCCAAGGAAACGCAAAACGUGGUUAAAACUAACAGCCAGACAGACUUGGAGAAGAAUAAGCAAGGUCUCAGAGCAGCAGAACCUGGAGGGGG
ensembl:lncRNA